rnacentral:rRNA from 1 species
AAUGGUGGGAACACUGAUCCAGCCAUGCCGCGUGCAGGAUGACUGCCUAUGGGUUGUAAACUGCUUUUAUACGGGAAGAACCCGGGCACGUGUGCCCGGCUGACGGUACCGUAAGAAUAAGGACCGGCUAACUCCGUGCCAGCAGCCGCGGUAAUACGGAGGGUCCGAGCGUUAUCCGGAAUCAUUGGGUUUAAAGGGUCCGUAGGCGGGCCAAUAAGUCAGAGGUGAAGGGCCACGGCUCAACCGUGGGACUGCCUUUGAUACUGUUGGUCUUGAGUCAUGGUGGGGUUGCCGGAACAUGUGGUGUAGCGGUGAAAUGCAUAGAUAUCACAUAGAACACCGAUCGCGAAGGCAGGUGGCCAACCAUGAACUGACGCUGAUGGACGAAAGCGUGGGGAGCGAACGGGAUU